AGAGUUUGAUUCUGGCUCAGGACGAACGCUGGCGGCGUGCCUAACACAUGCAAGUCGAGCGGGGACAUUGCGACAGAUAUGAAGUUUUCGGAUGGAUUUGAAGAUGUAAUGUUCUAGCGGCGGACGGGUGAGUAACGCGUGAGCAACCUGUCCCUUACAGGGGGAUAACACAGCGAAAGUUGUACUAAUACCGCAUGAGACCACAGAGCGACAUCGCUUAGGGGUCAAAGGAGCAAUCCGGUAAGGGGUGGGCUCGCGUCCGAUUAGAUAGUUGGUGAGGUAACGGCCCACCAAGUCGACGAUCGGUAGCCGACCUGAGAGGGUGAUCGGCCACAUUGGGACUGAGACACGGCCCAAACUCCUACGGGAGGCAGCAGUGGGGAAUAUUGGGCAAUGGGGGAAACCCUGGCCCAGCAACGCCGCGUGAGGGAAGAAGGUUUUCGGAUCGUAAACCUCUGUCCUUGGUGAAGAGAAAGAGACGGUAGCCAAGGAGGAAGCCCCGGCUAACUACGUGCCAGCCGCGGC
rnacentral:rRNA from 1 species